UACGUAGGGUCCGAGCGUUGUCCGGAAUUAUUGGGCGUAAAGGGCUCGUAGGCGGUUCGACACGUCGGGAGUGAAAACUCGGAGCUUAACUCCGAGCCUGCUUCCGAUACGGGCAGACUAGAGGUAGGCAGGGGAGAGCGGAACUCCUGGUGUAGCGGUGGAAUGCGCAGAUAUCUGGAGGAAUACCGGUGGCGAAGGCGGCAUCCUGGACCGGCACUGACGCUGAGGAGCGAAAGCUAGGGGAGCAAACGGG
rnacentral:rRNA from 1 species